AAGAUAAUAGGCCGGGAAGGCUGAAUACCUGCCUCGUAUAAUGUGUUGUGCUCCGAUCAAUUUACAGAAGAUAGUUUCUGUUCUUAUGAUUCGAGAGUAAGGAAACGUUUGAAACCAGGAGCAUUGCCUACGAUUUGUACAAAAAUUACCCUUGAACCGCAAAGGGACAUUUCGGAAAUAAAUAAUACUACAGAAAACUCCGCCAAGUUACCUGAAGGCUUGUCUAAUUUGGAAGAGAGUGUUGGUGAAAAUGUAAUGAGAUCUCGAGCAAUAAAGAAAAUAUACAUAAGGUUGUCACGAAUGAGGGUUCUUCAUUCCAAAAUUCUCAAGAAUGUGAAAGUGCUUCAGAACCAACCAUAAACAUUUCCAUAAGUGACGGUUCACUAAAUAAUAGAGAUGAUGUGCACGAUGUACUUCAACCUUUUUCAUUUUUGGAAAAUACACCUGAACGGAGUAUUGUCGUGGAUUAUGGGGAAACUGCACAUAAUG